rnacentral:lncRNA from 1 species
CUGAACUUCAGAAUUUGGGGAUCUGGGAGUGGUCACAUGGUAUGGGCAUGGCGUGUUACAAUCCACAGUGUAGUCAGAUGUAGCAGACUGUGCCCAAGUGUGGGCACAUUUUUUAAAGAUGUGGAAUCAAGGUGUUUUCUCCCUAGACUGUAGGAGGAAAAUCCGUGUGUGUUGUGUCAGUUCAAGACAAGAUUUACCACCAGAUGAGUGGAGCUCAUGUAAAGUGUUCUCGGCUGAGUGAGGAAGAAAGAAGGAAUGAACUGUGGAAAACACGCCAGAAGCUAUGGACUCUGUACAGACUGCAGAAGACUCUUUCUCUAUGUUGUGACUCUGAGCUUGUCCAGGCAACUUGCUGAGAUGGUUUUGAUGCAAACAAAAAUGAAUGAUGCUGUUGUUCAGAAUGUGUUGUUUGCUGUCUGUGCUCUGAAGAGGUGGGCUCUGUUCUAUGUUUUGAAUCUGGUAUGUCCUAUUUGACUGAAAUAUGACAUAGAGAUGGUCAAAGAUGUUUCUUUUCUUCCUUCUUUCCUUCCUUCCUUCCUUCCUUCCUUCCUUCCUUCCUCUCCCUCCCUCUCCCUCCCUCCCUCUCUCUCUCUCUCUCUCUCUCUCUCUCUCUCUCUC